UUCUUCUUUCUUUUUAUUAGAAAGAGUUCUUUUUUCUAACUUUAUUUUUAGUUUUAUUGCAGAAAUUGGGCUAAACCUUAUAUUAAAGAUGCUAAAGAAGUUUCCAGGUAUAUUGAGAUGAUUUCUUUGGAGCAAUUCUUGACAACAUUUGUAGUUGAGGCCUUUAGAAUGGAAGAAUGUAUUUCACUAAUUUUUGUAUACAUUUCUUGUUUUGUAUUUAGUGAUAAAGGAAUCUGAAUUGGGCAUAAAUUAUGUUGUAAUAUGAUUUCUUAAGCCUAGAGUAGUAGACUAAAUAUUGUAAUUACAUUUGAGUAAUUAAUAAAAAUCUAUUUAUGUUA